CACACGGCCCCGCGCAUCUCGCCCCAGUCGACCCCGCAGCUCCUCCCUCGCCCGGUCCCAAUGCGCCGCUCCAGCAACCGCCCUCAGCGCGGGCAGAAAGUAACCGACCUUUUAUUCUCAUUAUUGCUACUAAAAAUCUCUGCUGUCUUUUACGAAUUGCCGUGAAUUUCCACUCGGCACACGCAGGUGCGUUCUGCGUUUCCUCAGUUGCUCCGCGCCUCCAAUCUGACACGGCCGAAGGCUUUGCGGGGCUCCUCCCGCUGAUACAGAGCGGGAAGCGCCGCGGCACAUCCGCACGGCUCCCUUUGCCAGCGGCAGAACCCUGACUUGCUCUGCUCCGCUCCCUGGGCUGCCGUGGGACGCCAGAACGGCGCUGCUGAUGGGGGAAGCAGCUGCACUCCUCCCUCCCGCCAGCAGUCGUUCCUCCACACCCGCAGGAGGACGGUUUCCCUCCCAGCAGCCUGCCGCACCACUGGCCAUACCUGCACGUGGAAGGUGUGGGCGAUCUCUCCGUCUACAUCGUAAACAAACAACCCCAGGAGAGUUUCACCUUCGUCCUCAUCCGCUCCCUCAAAGACAAGAGAUGAUGGCGGUCACACUUAGGCAGGCCGUGCAAAAAAGAACAUACCGAGGCCGAAGGUGGGAGCCCCUCCCCCCCCACAUCAGCUCUGGCAGGAUUGGAGCACAAAGGAGGGAACUGACCAAGAAACUGAGCAGGAUGCACUGCAGGAAGGCAGCUAGUCCCACAGUGUCCCACACUGCCAGUCUCGGACAGUGGAAUGCAGGCAUGGUCAACAACUGGCAUGCCAGGGAGAGCUGACAGAUGGCACAAGAGGAGUGGUCCCUUCCAGUUUGGUUGCAGAGGUUUCAGAUGAUGAACUGGAUACGCCUCAAGAUCCUGUGGGAAUUCCUGCAUUACUCCAUCUGCAAGAUUACCCCCUGCUCCCCUUGAUGUUCAAGUGGAGUGUGUGCAGGAUGUGGAUGAGCUCCUACAAAACAAAACAAAAACAACCAAUUAAACACCCACAAUAAAACAAUCAAUCAAACAAAA